rnacentral:lncRNA from 1 species
AUGAACAAAGCUAGUGGAGGUGAUGGAAUUCCAGUUGAGCUGUUUCAAAUCCUGAAAGAUGAUGCUGUGAACGUGUUGCAGUCAAUAUGCCAGCAAGUUUGGAAAACUCAGCAGUGGCCACACGACUGGAAAAGGUCAGUUUUCAUUCCAAUCCCAAAGAAAGGCAAUGCCAAAGAAUGCUCAAACUACUGCACAAUUGCACUCAUCUCACAUGCCAGUAAAGUAAUGCUCAAAAUUCUCCAAGCCAGGCUUCAGCAAUACGUGAACCGUGAACUCCCUGAUGUUCAAGCUGGUUUCAGAAAAGGCAGAGGACCCAGAGAUCAAAUUGCCAACAUCCACUGGAUCAUGGAAAAAGCAAGAGAGUUCCAGAAAAACAUCUCUUUCUGCUUUAGUGACUAUGCCAACGUCUUUGACUGUGUGGAUCACAAUAAACUGUGGAAAAUCCUGAAAGAAAUGGGAAUACCAGACCACCUAACCUGCCUCUUGAGAAAUCUGCCUGCAGGUCAGGAAGCAACAGUUAGAACUGGACAUGGAACAACAGACUGGUUCCAAAUAGGAAAAGGAGUACAUCAAGGCUGUAUAUUGUCACCCUGCUUAUUUAACUUCUAUGCAGAGUACAUCAUGAGAAAUGCUGGACUGGAAGAAACACAAGCUGGAAUCAAGAUUGCCGGGAGAAAUAUCAAUAACCUCAGAUAUGCAGAUGACACCACCCUUAUGGCAGAAAGUGAAGAGGAGCUAAAAAGCCUCUUGAUGAAAGUGAAAGAGAAGAGUGAAAAAGUUAGCUUAAAGCUCAACAUUCAGAAAAUGAAGAUCAUGGCAUCCGGUCCCAUCAUUCCAUUGGAAAUAGAUGGAGAAACAGUGGAAACAACGUCAGACUUUAUGUUUUUGGGCUCCCAAAUCACUGCAGAUGGUGAUUGCAGCCAUGAAAUUAAAAGACCCUUACUCCUUGGAAGAAAAGUUAUGACCAACCUAGAUAGCAUAUUCAAAAGCAGAGACAUUACUUCGCCGACUAAGGUCCAUCUAGUCAAGGCUAUUGUUUUUCCAGUGGUCAUGUAUGGAUGUGAGAGUUGGACUGUGAAGAAGGCUGAGCGCUGA